AUUGAACGCUGGCGGCAUGCCUUACACAUGCAAGUCGAACGGUAACGCGGGGCAACCUGGCGACGAGUGGCGAACGGGUGAGUAAUGCAUCGGAACGUGCCCAGUAGUAGGGGAUAGCCCGGCGAAAGCCGGAUUAAUACCGCAUACGACCUAAGGGUGAAAGCGGGGGAUCGCAAGACCUCGCGCUAUUGGAGCGGCCGAUGUCAGAUUAGGUAGUUGGUGGGGUAAAGGCCUACCAAGCCUACGAUCUGUAGCUGGUCUGAGAGGGCGACCAGCCACACUGGGACUGAGACACGGCCCAGAGUCCUACGGGAGGCAGCAGUGGGGAAUUGUGGACAAUGGGCGCAAGCCUGAUCCAGCCAUGCCGCGUGCGGGAAGAAGGCCUUCGGGUUGUAAACCGCUUUUGUCAGGGAAGAAACGCUCCGGGCUAAUACCCUGGGGUAAUGACGGUACCUGAAGAAUAAGCACCGGCUAACUACGUGCCAGCAGCCGCGGUAAGAC
rnacentral:rRNA from 1 species